UGGUCUUAAAAUAACAUGAAAUAAAGGUAAAUUAUUUUUUUUCUCUGCUAAAUCAGGAGAACCAAAAUCACUUACAAGACUGCUUUGAAUUUUAAAUCACUUCUUUGACCUAUACCAUAAUCACUCCAUAUUUACACAUAUACAGUGGUAGCAUUUGGCUCAGACUGAGUUAAUUAUGACACUGUACUUACUUACUAAUUACUUUCAUUUAAUUCGCAUGUGGCAAAAUAUGAUCUAGAAAACAGUCUUGCUACAGAGCAAUUGCUUGUAAUAAUAAUUUAUUUAUACAUGAUAGUACUUUUGUUUAGUCUUUAAAUCACCGAAAUACAAAUAAAAUAAGUCGGUAGGCCUUAGCAUAUAGCUUCAGUCCCCCACUGCCAGUGUCCUGUGUACUUAAUCCCUUCACUGUUGCUGAUUACACCAGAAAGUGCAGGUACUGUUUGUUAAUUAUGUUUACCUUUCAGAAAAUAACAGCAGCUAAAAGCUAACUCAGCUCCACUGAGAAGAGACUUUUCACAUCGGACUUAUUUUUCAUCUUCUCUUGUUCUGCAUUACUGAAGACCAUGCAGAAAAUUCUGUGGAUUGAAGGGCUGUGGAUGUUUAUUCCUCAUUUAACAGAUUUUUUUUGUUUUGAGAUAUUCUUGAACAUUUUCAAAGCCACCAAAUUGUGGUGUCAAAAUAAUAGGAAUUUCUUUUGUGAGCAAUAGGAAGAAAAACUUUGGUCAUUAAAUUGUUCUUCAUACAGAUGAUUUAUUCAGGACUCUGGCUGCAGUGCACGGCAAGACAGCUUAGGUGCUACAGUGUUGAGCACCAUGACGUUUAAGGGAUUGAGCCCAAGCUUGGUACACGUCAGACAAUUCAAACGUUUUGCCCCCGCCCCCCCGCCACGUAAUGCUAAGAAGGUAAUGUUUGCAAGCUAAGCAAAUUGCAGGAAAAUACAUUAAAAAUGAAAUAACUACAGUGUUUUAAAAUGUCUGUGACAUAGUGAAGAUGACAAAAACCAGAGUUCUGUAAGAGAUUAAAAAUACUGCAGGAAAAAGCCAGUCGACAGUGUAACAAGUCAUAAAGUUCAUUGAGCUAAUAAUUACACUUGUAAAAAAAAAAAAAGUUUCGUUGCUCUCAAGCAGAAAAGCUUAUAGAAAUAAUAUUGUAAUGCCACGGGAGUAUUACUUAUCAAAAGUAUAUGGCAAUAUAUGUGACAAAUACUAUAGUAUAUGGGGGAGCACAAUAGUGUGGUACGUUAUGUUAGAAAAGCCGAUGGUGGGAAUCUGUCCUGGGAAGGUUUUACGUGCUCACAUUUCAUCAGUCUCGGGGAGAAUGGGGUGAUGGGACUAAUGGGAAAUGUCACUGAACAGAAAUAGUAUUGUGCUGAAUGCUUAGCAGAAACAGACCUUCUGUAAGUAAAGGUAAGAGGAUGAGCCCUUCACGUAUGGUAAUUUUACAGGAAAUAAGAAUCUGCAAUAAUUGCCCUAAUAUUAAUUAAACUGCUGUAUGGAAAUCACUUAUUUAUAAUUCUUUACUCUACUGGACACCCAACCAAAACAAUAGUGGCUGCCCAAGUGUUUGUCUCAAUUAGAAGAUAAAAUACCAGCCGUAAGUGGCCUCGGACUUCAAUUGCAUUUGGAGAGAUUGAAAAAUGAGCCUCCCCCAUUACUGCCCAAGGGUUCUGCCAGUCACACAGAGAGAGACACCCACAUUUUAUCCUUCAGAAAGAUGCAGAAGUGUCAGCUGCUCACCGCUCUCUUACCCAUACCUAUCUUCCUUUCUCCUCUCCCCGUUUUAAAAGAUGUUUCCCCUUUCUCACCCAGCGUCCAAUGACUGACUAAGCUGAAACCCGACUCUUCAUGGCAACUUUUCCCUUCAGGGAUUAACGGACAAUUUUCCUUUUUACCCAUUAUUUGCAGGUGUCAAGUGCCUUAUUUCCUGGACAGGCUACGCCAAACAGACCCAGAUUUUUUUGGGCUGUUCUCACAAUGCAGUGAUAGCAGGAUAUUCCCCUCCAUAAGAAGUCUGAGCUUUGGGCUUUACAGGCCUAAAGGUGAAGCAUUAGAGGGGGAGCUGGUAGGACACCUCAGCGAGACUUUGGGAAAUGCUUUCAGGACUGCGGGAAGCCCAGUUUGUUCUGUGCAAGAGUAAGACUGAUAAGAUCUUCUAAACAACCAACCUUGCUUCCUAAUACUUCCUAGUUACCAGAAGGGAUAAGACAGCCUGUUUUGCAUGCAGCGGUUCUACAGUACAUACUACUACCACUACUAAUUGUUACAGGAAUCAUUUCUUUAUGGCACAUUGACUAUAUGUAUGUACGUUUUUUCUAUAUAUUACAGUUAGGCAAUAUUGAGAGUCAAUGGCCAUUGUGACCAUUAAGUAAAACCUGUACCUCAUCACAGCGGAAACCGGACCCCUCAUACUCCCUUGAAAGCAGUUCUGUUUGGGUAACCAAAAUGAAUUUUUUUGUAUCGUCUGAAGAUGUCUAAGCCAUGCUAAAUAGCCUCAUAAAUGCUUUGGGUAAUGAAAAAAAAAAAAAAGUAUUUGAAGGGAAAAUUCCCUUAUAUGGUCCAAAAACAUAAACCAAAGCUUCGUAUGUGAAUAAUUGUAAACUCACCAAAGAUAAGUUUAAUACUUUAUUUCUGACUCAUAAUUCCUUAUAAGAACCUGAACUGAAAUCACUGAAAUACUAAAAUAUUUCUAAUGUAAAUCUGAUAACCUUGUCUGGCAUGCAGUUAUUUCUGCUGUUUCUUUAAAUGAAUACUUAUUAAAAGCUGCAGAAAUUACAGGUUUCUGGUAGAAUCCUAGUCAGGUGAGAUAUUUUAAAAAAACAUCUAAGUGACAAGGUCCUUCCCAACAGCUGGUAGUGUAAUUUGAGAUAAGGAGCAAGUAGUGAAGAUGACAAAGAGAGGAGGAGACAGGCAAAAUUAAAGAUACUUAAAAGUCAUGUAAUUUCAGAGGUUGCUUAUAAUUCUGAGUGUGCAAGCUUUGCAGAAACUUUUAGACAGCAGAGACACAUUUCUUCCUGAAUGCCAUACUUUGAGCUUACCUUCUUACUUCACAUUCUUUAUCUUAUCGUAAUAAUUUUGCAAAACGCUUAUUACUAAAACAAACAAACAAAAAGCAGCAAAUACCUUCUCAUAUGAGGCUGACCAGAGGGUGACCAAGGGCUGCGGCCUCUUUGAUUUACAGCUUGAACCAUCAGCCUGCCUGUGCAACUUACUCUGCCCUGUUAGGAUGAUGGAGAGUAGAAACAUUAAAAUACGUAAAGCAUAUAAUAUUAAUAAAUGUUCAACCUGAUCUCUUCGGUUUUGCCCACCUGUUACAGAGUCUGUAAUACAAUCUCUUUUUUCACUAAGUCAUUGAAAAACAUUUGUCAACAUACCUUCUGAUACUAAACUAUUUUGUCAGCUUCCCAUCGAACACAGAACAGACUGGAAUAAUUGUGACUAUAACACAGUCAUGGUUAAAAUGUUCCACCUGGAAGUUUUUCGUUAAAAAAAGAUUAUUAGUACCACUAGCAAUUAAAUCCUUAAACCAGUAUAUUGACUAAGUCAUUGAUGUGGGUGGGAGGUUUCUCUGUGUCUGGCAAGUGGACAGAAAGACUAGUUCAAGAUCAGUCACUCUUGAAAAUGGCACUUGGAAAGUGUUGAAAGUUAACAACAGAGCUUCUGCCUCCAAAGUGCAUUGAUCCACUUGACCUGGUGGGGCCACAGCUCAAAGAAAAAAAUCCAUGCAUGUACAAAGCAAACCAAUUGUACAAGUACUUAAAGGCUCCUCUCAGAAGAGCGAGCCUGGUUUGGGGGUAUGAAUCCGCACCAAAGCACACAACUGCACUGCUGGACGUUGGAGAUGGUUCAGCAGUCUUAGGUUAUUUUCGGUGAAUGAUGAAGCUUUGAAUAAAACAUGGGAUCUGUUGUAUUUAAUCCCUGGGGUUUGUUUUGCUUUGUUUCUUAUGUCAAAAUAAACUAUUUUGGUUUUUAAAAGACAGGUGUUCCACCACAAGCACUAGAGGUAACAAAUUUGGGAUGGGACUGCCUACAGCCAGAACUGCUGACAUCCAGGACUCCGCUGAAUUCACCAUUGUGAUUCUACUUGAAGGCCUGGUCUUGGCAAGAUAUUUGGUGCUACAGAAGAAAAUAAUUCAUUAUAUCCCUGAAGUUAUGUUACUGCCUUGGUUUCUCAUGUGCAAAUGUUUCCCCUCAAUUUGCUGUGCUGUAGGAAAAGUGGAUUGAAAAAGUUACUUCAAUAGGAUGCGUGAACUGUAAAUUUAAGUGAUGUCCAAUGCG